CCUACGGGUGGCAGCAGUAGGGAAUCUUUCACAAUGGGCGAAAGCCUGAUGGAGCAACGCCGCGUGCAGGAUGACGGCCUUCGGGUUGUAAACUGCCUUUAUAAGCGAGAAAUAUGAUGGUAACUUAUGAAUAAGGAUCGGCUAACUACGUGCCAGCAGCCGCGGUCAUACGUAGGAUCCGAGCAUUAUCCGGGGUGACUGGGUGUAAAGAGUUGCGUAGGUGGCAUAAUAAGUAGCUAGUGGAAUCUUGUGGCUCAACCAUUCAGACUAUUAGCUAAACUGUUAAGCUCGAGACCGUUAGGGGUAACUGGAAUGUCUAGUGUAGGAGUGAAAUCCGUAGAUAUCAGAAGGAACACCGAUAGCGUAGGCAGGUUGCUGGGACGGUUCUGACACUGAGGCACGAAAGCGUAGGGAGCAAACGGGAUUAGAUACCCGAGUAGUC
rnacentral:rRNA from 1 species